rnacentral:misc_RNA from 1 species
GAUGAAGAACGUAGCGAAAUGCGAUAAGUAAUGUGAAUUGCAGAAUUCAGUGAAUCAUCGAAUCUUUGAACGCACAUUGCGCCCGCCAGUAUUCUGGCGGGCAUGCCUGUUCGAGCGUCAUUUCAACCAUCAAGCCCCAGGCUUGUGUUGGAGCCCUGCGGCUGCCGCAGCCUCCCAAAACCAGUGGCGGGCUCGCUAUCACACCGAGUGCAGUAGUUUACUCUUCGCUCAGGGAGUGUGGCGGGUGCUAGCCGUAAAACCCCCAACUUCUCAAGGUUGACCUCGGAUCAGGUAGGAAUACCCGCUGAACUUAAGCAUAUCAAUAAGCGGGA